UACGUAGGGUGCGAGCGUUGUCCGGAAUUAUUGGGCGUAAAGAGCUCGUAGGCGGUGUGUCGCGUCGGCCGUGAAAACCUGCAGCUUAACUGUGGGCGUGCGGUCGAUACGGGCAUCACUGGAGUUCGGCAGGGGAGACUGGAAUUCCUGGUGUAGCGGUGAAAUGCGCAGAUAUCAGGAGGAACACCGGUGGCGAAGGCGGGUCUCUGGGCAACAACUGACGCUGAGGAGUGAAAGCGUGGGGAGCGAACAGG
rnacentral:rRNA from 1 species